rfam:Sporolactobacillus laevolacticus DSM 442 Contig001, whole genome shotgun sequence.
AAAUGAAAAGAGCAAACUAACCGAAAGAUUAGGACGCAAAGCUGCGGGUCUAAAGCGAAAGCAAAGACAGCCGGGUUACCAUU